rnacentral:rRNA from 1 species
GUGCCGCCGCCGCGGUAAUACGGAGGGUGCAAGCGUUGUCCGGAAUCAUUGGGUGUAAAGGGUGUGCAGGCGGAAGUCUAAGUCGGAGGUGAAAUCUUGCCGCUUAACGGUAAAAGUGCCUUCGAAACUGGAUUUCUUGAGUUCGGAAGAGGUUGGUGGAAUUCGUGGUGUAGCGGUGAAAUGCAUAGAUAUCACGAAGAACACCGGUGGCGAAGGCGGCCAACUGGUCCGAUACUGACGCUGAGACACGAGAGCGUGGGGAGCGAACAGGAUUAGAAACCCGGGUAUCC